CAGAAGUCGAGCAUCGCCUUACAGGACGC
rnacentral:sRNA from 1 species